rnacentral:rRNA from 1 species
UUCUUGGUCAUUUAGAGGAAGUAAAAGUCGUAACAAGGUUUCCGUAGGUGAACCUGCGGAAGGAUCAUUAAAGAGAUAGGGUCUUCAUGGCCCGACCUCCAACCCUCUGUUGUUAAAACUACCUUGUUGCUUUGGCGGGACCGUCUCGGUCUCCGAGCGCACUAACCCUCGGGUUGGUGAGCGCCCGCCAGAGUCCAACCAAACUCUUGUAUUAAACCAGUCGUCUGAGUAUAAAAUUUUAAUUAAAUUAAAACUUUCAACAACGGAUCUCUUGGUUCUCGCAUCGAUGAAGAACGCAGCGAAAUGCGAUAAGUAAUGUGAAUUGCAGAAUUCAGUGAAUCAUCGAAUCUUUGAACGCACAUUGCGCCCCUUGGUAUUCCGAGGGGCAUGCCUGUUCGAGCGUCAUUACACCACUCAAGCAUCGCUUGGUAUUGGGAACGGUCCGUCGCAAGGCGGGCCUUCCUCGAAGACCUCGGCGGGGUUCAACCAACUUCGGGCGUAGUAGAGUUAAAUCGAACGUCUUAUAAGCUUGGUCGGAUCUCAUUGCCGUUAAACCUUUAAAU